GAUGAACGCUGGCGGCGUGCCUAAUACAUGCAAGUCGAGCGAACAGACGAGGAGCUUGCUCCUCUGACGUUAGCGGCGGACGGGAGAGUAACACGUGGAUAACCUACCUAUAAGACUGGGAUAACUUCGGGAAACCGGAGCUAAUACCGGAUAAUAUAUUGGACCGCAUGGUUCAAUAGUGAAAGACGGUUUUGCUGUCACUUAUAGAUGGAUCCGCGCCGCAUUAGCUAGUUGGUAAGGUAACGGCUUACCAAGGCAACGAUGCGUAGCCGACCUGAGAGGGUGAUCGGCCACACGGGAACUGAGACACGGUCCAGACUCCUACGGGAGGCAGCAGUAGGGAAUCUUCCGCAAUGGGCGAAAGCCUGACAGAGCAACGCCGCGUGAGUGAUGAAGGUCUUCGGAUCGUAAAACUCUGUUAGUAGGGAAGAACAAAUGUGUAAGUAACUAUGCACGUCUUGACGGUACCUAAUCAAAAAGCCACGGCUAACUACGUG
rnacentral:rRNA from 1 species